AUUCAGCUGACCAGUCUGAAAUAGGACGAAACGCACGUCAAACUGGAU
rnacentral:hammerhead_ribozyme from 1 species